AGAUGUAAGGGUGGUCUGGCUGCAACAUCUGUCACCCCAGCAUCCGCCAGGGUUGAUUCAGCUGAUCUGGCUGGAUAGCUGCGUGUGCCCUCCUGCCUCACCACUGCAUGUACAUCCCUCCUGAAGCUACAUGCCUGGUUGAAGAAGACAACCUUCCCCAGUAGAAGAGGGCCACUGUUUGGUUAAGGGUAUAUAAGUACCUGUCUCUUAUACACAUCUAGAUGUGUAUAAGAGACAGGAGUGAACAUGUUUAUCACCUUUGUGUGAGCCCCUCCCUUUCUCAGCCCCUCCUC
rnacentral:snRNA from 1 species